GACUCUUUUUAAGGGAAGUCUCAAAUUAAAUUCUGGACAAAAAGAAAAAAGAACCAACGAAAGUUCUCUUCUUCAAACUCCAACUCUCAUCAGCUCUUUCAUCUCCUUACUAUUUCUCUUCCUCCUCCUCCCGCCUCCAGAGUUGUAGCACCACUACUAGACUACUAGUCGGCGGCUCCUCUGCCAUUGUAGAUUUUCAAUUUGGGGACUUCCAACCACCUCUUCUUCUCUGCCCGCUGCUAUUCUCACUGUUCACCACAGUGUAAACUGGAAUUCUUGUUACAAAACAUCUCAAAAUGAAAAUCAUCAGGUUCUCUCAGAACCUGAUGUUUACAAAUAGGAGUUUUAAGCAAUUAUUUGACAUUCUCAACAUCAGGGAUUUCUCUCUUUGGUCAAUGAAGAAAGACCCAGAUCUUGAAUCAGCUCUAUCCCAUAAUCGGCGUUGGAUUGUGAAUAACCAAAUCAAGAACAUAAUCUUGAGAUACCCUAACCAGGUAGUACCUGUAAAUUUCAUUCAGAAAAAGUUCAAGACCCUUGAUCUUCAAGGCAAAGCUCUCAAUUGGUUGAACAAGUACCCAUGUUGCUUUGAGGUCUUUCGAGAAAACGACGAGCUCUAUUGUCAACUAACAAAAAGAAUGAUGUGCUUAGUAGAGGAGGAAGAGGCCAUCAAGGAAGAGCAGGGGCCUGUGUUUGCUGAGCGGUUGGCGAAAAUCUUGAUGAUGAGCUCAAAUCAAAGGCUCAAUGUAGUAAAGCUCGAUGAAUUGAAGCGGAAUUUUGGUUUCCCUGAUGAUUAUCUUAUUAGAAUCGUUCCAAAAUAUUCGGAAAUGUUUCGGCUUAUUAAUUACAGUGGGAGGAAAAGUGCAAUGGAGAUUGAGCUUGUACCAAGGAACCCUGAGUUACCGAUUUCGUACAUUGAAAUGUCAGCUAGCAAGCAGAAUACAGAGCCUCGCUUUUCAUGUUCAUUGCCUUCAACAUGGAUUAAAUCAUGGGAGAAGUUUCAUGAGUUUAAUUCAACACCAUAUAUUUCACCUUACGCGAAUUUAAGUAGUUUAGUUGAAGGAUCAAAGGAGCAUGAGAAAAGGACAGUGGCCUUGGUGCAUGAAUUACUAUCACUGACUCUUUGGAAGAAGAUGUCAGUCAUAAAGCUAGGCCAUUUCAGGAGAGAGUUUGCAUUGCCAGAGAAGUUAAAUGUUUUGCUUUUAAAACAUCCUGGCAUAUUUUAUGUAACAAAUAAAUAUAGGACCUACACGGUUCUUCUCCGAGAGGACUAUAAUGGCUCAAAGCUAAUAGACAAAGAUCCCCUUGUUGUGGUGAAGGAUAAAUUUGGGGAAGUAAUGCAAGAGGGGCUACACGAGUACAAUCAGCGAGGGCGUUUAUCAAACCUAGAGAAGAGGAAGAAGAGAGGCAUAAUUAUGCCUAAAGUAGAGAAAAAGGACAAGAAUGUAGAAAUAUCUGAAGAAGAUCAAGUAGGUCAUUCUGGACGUCUAUUUGAUCCUGAGGAAAGGAAAAGGUUUUACAAGAUACUAUUUGAAGAGGAUUCCUGAAAUUCUGUGGGGUUGUUCAUCAAAUGGGCAUUAAUAGGAUGGACAAGGAAUCUGGAAGCUGGUUCCUUAUUUCAGGAAUAUGACCAUGGAAGUUCCUUAGGAGUUCUCAUUAAUUCUAACAAGUGAAAGUAAUAGGAUUUCUAAAUUUGAAGCAUAUUCAGAUAGAUGACACUGGAGUGGGACAUUUUAUCCAAUACUUUGAAUCCUUAUAGGGGUCGCCAAUGCAGCAAAAUCAGCUGAAGGAGCUUCACAGCAAAUACAAGAAACAUCUUUUAGUUCAGAUCACAAUUACAUCCUCAAUCCCGCAGAAGAUGGAAACUUGACACUUAAUUGCAGAGACAGUGGCUCCUUACCUAACCUCUGGGAGUGACCUGAAUUACCUCUGCAGAGUGGACAUCAUGGAACUUCAAUUUAGCAAUGGAUGGAAGCUCUGUAAUAGGAACACAAAAGGUUUGUCCGAAUGAGAUUUUCUGCCCAUUAUUAUGCAAAUUGGAAAAUAUUGUUGACGGAGCUCAAAAUGUCUGAAGAGGAAGGUCGAGUUGAUCUAGUAGGAGUUCCAGUCUAUUUGAUCAAGAAGAAAAUGGCAAGUUUUUAUAAGAUGAUAUCCAAAGAAUUUCAUGGGACUCUGCAUUUGUGUUUUAUUCAUCUUGUGUGUGAUUUGUCUGAUUCAUAUGUGAUACUGAUAAGCAUGCUGGUUCAAAAAGAUUGCAUUGAAUGGAAACUUUGACCAUAAAACGAGCGUUGAAUGUCUCGCUUCAUCUGGACCAAACUUUAUAUAUUUUCGAAACUGUGGCGUAUGCAGAACUUUAUAGAUUGUGCUGCUUUUCGGAUUUGCUAGUUGCCACUUUGAGUCUCCCUCUGGAAUUUGGAUGAUGUAUGAAAUUACACUGUAGGCCCUCUAGGUUAUGUAGGAUGUAAAUUGUAUUUUUUUGUCUAAUGAGAUUGCAGGGGAUUAAUUUUCAAGUUCCUUGUUCUGGGUUAGAAUUUGUCAUUGUUUGCAAAUAUUGGAAAAAGUAGUGAAAUUAAAGUUCAGUUUCAUGUUGUAUGGAGAGCAUCCUUUUUUCCCUUUGGGGUCUUCUGUUAUCCUUUUUUUCAUGAAUAUGUGCUACAUGGUCUUAAUAGAAAGCAGCAGUUCUGACUUCUGAGAUGCUAGAAGUUGCUUAAACUUAGUAAUGUAUUUAUGUAUUCAAAUGUUGAGUUUUCUCCUUGGUGAGUAAUGUGUAUUUGAGUUCUGUUUACCUCAAAGGGCCAGGUGCUUUUAACGUAUCAUUAUUAAUCUUGGACAUAUGUCUUUGAUGAUAAUGCAGGAAUUUUGAUACUAAUUUUUAAUAAGUUUAUCUUACUGCUAUAAUAGUGGUAUGGGAUUCAUAGAACUUGCAAAGUCAGGUUCCUGAGUUCUUGAAGUUGUUACAUGCAUCCAGUAUUGCAAAUGUGAACAUUAAGCACGUUUAGACUUCUUAUACUCUUUGAUAGUUCAUCUGUGUUGUCAUCUUGUCCAUAUAUUUGGCUUAAUUUUUGUGUUCUAUGUCAUGGACCAUUCUGUUCUGUGCUUUAGUGGGAUGUCUGAUAUUCCUGUACCCUAUGAAAAGGAAGUAGCUAUGUCUGAACAAAAGUGGUGAACAAAAUUGGAAACGAAAGGACUGAUGAGUGCAGAUGCACCUCGUCAUUCUGAAGCUUCUCGACAAGCAAAAAACAAAGGUGAGUUAAAAACCUUUCCAGUGUGGAAAUAGACAGUAAUUGUAAAGAUGAGUUUCUGCAUUGUCAUUCAUGACUCAUGAGCAAUUGGAGAAUGGUUGUGGACAAUCUCAAAUGAAGCAGAAAUUCGUUGACAUUUGACAUGCAGGUCUCAUCUGAGGAACCUUGAUCUUCAGUCAAUUAAACCAAUAGACUUGUGAUAGUGAAAGCAGAAGAAGCUUCCACAGAACCACAAUCUACAUUUGGAUUUGUCAAGUGAUGGAAAGAAGGCGCUGAGUUAAAAAAAAUAACAAUAAGAAAACCUGCAUUUUUUAUUCAGCUAAAGAUAUUGUAUUACCUUUCCAGUUUCCAGUUUCCAGUUUCCAGUUUCCAGUGAGGUACUAGCAAUUUCGACACUGGAAAUAGGGCAAGUCAUUGAGCUUAGCACAAGUCAGAAGCUACAAAAUUUUGUUCAUUGUGAAGAUCAAACUGGUGCAUUUAAGUGAUUGUGGAUCAAGCUCAACUCGAAACAGAUCAUUCAAAGUAACUUAACAUAUAGGGUUCUUAUAAUAUUUCUUGUUUUGACAUUAUUUUCAAGUAUUUCGACGCAGUAGAUCCAUAGGCAGCUCAUCUAAUGACAAAUUCACAAUGGAAUUGCAGUAAAUUGACAAAAGGGUUUUGCCAGAAAAAAUAACCAUUCUACCAUAAACAUGUUGGAUCCACAAUUCCAUAUUGCUGUAAAUGCAACAAGUUCUACAAAUUUGCUAAAUCUAGAAUUAUUAAAUAUAAUUAAAUUGAAUUACUUAAAAAAAAUUGAUUCAUUGAAUUGUCUCUCAAAUUUAAGCUGAAUUCAAAGUAGUACUCCGUAUAAACCUUGAUGCUGGAUUUAAUGGCUUCCAACAAUGCUUUGAUUAAACCAUAACAUUUUGAUUUCAUUCAUUUCGGUUUCAACAUAAAAACUUCCAACUAAAUACAGAUUCUUUCAUUACUAAACCCUAAUUACCAAAUUACAAACAAAAUUAAAAUCAACCAAACUUAGAA